rfam:Chloroflexi bacterium 13_1_20CM_66_33 13_1_20cm_full_scaffold_517, whole genome shotgun sequence.
GCCCGGGUGGUGAAACUGGUAGACACGCAGCUUUGAGGGGGCUGUGAGCGCAAGCUUGUAAGGGUUCAAAUCCCUUCCCGGGCA